rnacentral:rRNA from 1 species
UGGGGAAUUUUGGACAAUGGGCGAAAGCCUGAUCCAGCAAUGCCGCGUGUGUGAAGAAGGCCUUCGGGUUGUAAAGCACUUUUGUCCGGAAAGAAAUCCUUGGCUCUAAUACAGUCGGGGGAUGACGGUACCGGAAGAAUAAGCACCGGCUAACUACGUGCCAGCAGCCGCGGUAAUACGUAGGGUGCAAGCGUUAAUCGAAUUACUGGGCGUAAAGCGUGCGCAGGCGGUUUGCUAAGACCGAUGUGAAAUCCCCGGGCUCAACCUGGGAACUGCAUUGGUGACUGGCAGGCUAGAGUAUGGCAGAGGGGGGUAGAAUUCCACGUGUAGCAGUGAAAUGCGUAGAGAUGGUGGAGGAAUACCGAUGGCGAAGGCAGCCCCCUGGG